GGUAUGUCAUUCCUCAGUUAUUUGCUGCCUCUAGGUAUGUAAGAUAUCCAUCAAUUUGUUCUCUUUGGGGCAAGCAUUUAUAAAAAUAAAGUAUAUUGUUGGCGGUUGCUACUCCAGCAAUAAAUCAUCUUUGUAAGGGUUGCAGUUCAUGCAUUUUAGAACUUUUCUAAUUAAUAAAAAUAAAGUAUAUUGUUGGCGGUUGCUACUCCAGCAAUAAAUCAUCUUUGUAAGGGUUGCAGUUCAUGCAUUUUAGAACUUUUCUUGGACAG
rnacentral:lncRNA from 1 species